UGCUCACACACUGACACACAGCCUGCUCACACACUGACACACAGCCCACACACAGCCCACACACACACUAACACAUCCUGCACACACUAACACACUUCCUAAACACACACUGAAACACAGCUUGCUCACACACUGACACACAGCCCACACACACACUAACACAUCCUGCACACACUAACACACUGCCUGAACACACACUAACACACAGCCUGCUCACACACUGACACACAGCCCACACACACUGACAUACAGCCUGCACACACUGACACACAGCCUGCACACACACUGACACAUAGCCUGCUCACACACUGACACACAGCGAACUUGUGAAGAAAAUAGCAAUGCUAUUCGGGACUUUUUAUGCCAUUCGGGACUUUUUAUGUUUUGUUGGUUCGGUAGCUGUAACUACCGAACACCGACCAACCCUCCUGGCUCAUUAUCUUCAAAGGAAACAGUUGAUUAAGCGCUCUCUCUGUAUGGCCGCCAUUCGUAUAACCGAACGCCACGUGCAAGAGAAAAUGGCGGCCAUCUUGUUCGCACAAAAGGAGGCA